CAGUAGCCACGGUAAUACGAGGGGGGCAAGCGUUGUUCGGAAUUAUUGGGCGUAAAGGGUGCGUAGGCGGUUUGACAAGUCUUAUGUGAAAUCUUCGGGCUCAACCCGAAGUCUGCAUAGGAAACUGUCGGGCUUGAGUAUUGGAGAGGUGAGUGGAAUUUCCGGUGUAGCGGUGAAAUGCGUAGAUAUCGGAAGGAACACCUGUGGCGAAAGCGGCUCACUGGACAAUAACUGACGCUGAUGCACGAAAGCUAGGGGAGCAAACAGGAUUAGAUACCCGCGUAGUCCCUGUCUCUUAUAC
rnacentral:rRNA from 1 species